AUGGAAUGAUUUAGUCUUCAAAUAUAUCUGUAUUUCAGUUGUUAAGGAUUGACUAUGUCAGUAUAAUGAGGGCGUUAAAAGUAAGGAUACUAAAAUUGGGUAUUUUAAAUAGUGAUUAAUGUAAUCCCUUUUUUCUAAAGGGGAAGGAGUGUUAGGUAGCAAGUUCAAUUUAUUUAGUUUUGGAUUUGUUAACCGUUCAUAUAUUAUUCAUUCUCUCGUUUCGUUAAGCUGUGAAUAUUUAGUUUUACAUUUAAACGCUAACUCACGAUCUAGUUAUUCACAUCAAUUUUAAGUAUCAGACUAACAACAGUUUUCCAUAAAGGUGACUUGUAAAUGUUAAUAUUCUUAAAGAGUAUGUAAAUUAUCACAUGAUUUUAAAUGUCUUGGUCUAACUAGUUAAUUAUUGCAGUUUAGCUUGUCUUUGAACUCGAAGAGGUCCCGUAACCUGAGCUGGAAGGUAGAGAAGGUGAAGAUAGAACAUGAACGAAUUUUCUUUGUAAGAGAAAAGUGGCGAAAAAAGGCUUGGAGAGCGCCUCCCCCCCCCUCUACAUUAACAACUUAUUUCGACUUGUCCACAUCUCAUCCUUCGAAUUAACGAGUCAUGUGCUCAACCUAGAUGGUCUUAAAACUCGAGCACUGGGCUGGAUUUAUGGUGAGAAAGUUCUAGCCACUGGCUCAUUCAUACACUGUAUGCAGGCUAUUUGAUAGUUUAUAAGAGGUCAAAAAAGGACUUUUUGGAAAUAGAAUAUCCAACAUUACCUGGAACCGUAGAUAAACGAACAGAAAUGUCUAGAAAUGUUAUACAGAAGGCAAUAUCCAACGUUGAAAAAUAUGGGAAGAUACAGAGAGAAGCUUAAACCCGUUAGUCAGUUUCGAACAAAAUUAAAAACACCAAAAGAAAUGGUCAUCGUCCUAUGCCGUUCCAGAAAAUUUAAAUGGCACAAGAAGGCUUUUAGAUUGCGGCUUCCCUUCCAUCAAAAUAAAGGACUUAUUCUAGUGUGUCCACUUCUCAUCCUUCGACGUAACGUGCUGACGAGUCACUUGUGUCCUCUGCCUAACGUAAGUGGUCUUUGAACUCGAACACUUCCUGUAAAGUGAACUAGAGCAGGAAAGGAGAGAAGAUGAAGAUUCACGAACAUGAAUAAAUUCUUUUUGUAAGGUGUCUGUACUGAAACUGUAAAGGAUUCUCGGUGUCGGUAUAAUGAGGCCGUUAAAAGUAAGAAUACGAAAAUUGGGAAUUUAGGAGUGAUUAAUGUAAUCACUUCGGUUUUUCGAAAGGAGUGUGAGGUAGCAAACUAUUUUAUUUUGUUAUGGUUUUGUUUAGUUAACUUAUUCUUUCUAUCGUUUAGUUUAUCUGUCAAUUUUUAGUUUACACUUAAACGCUAACUCACUUCAUAGCUAAUCCCAUUUAACUUUUAGAUUUUAAGAGUUAUCAGACUGACACCAGUUUCCCAUAUCGGUGACGUACAGAUAUUUAACAUUGGUAAAUAGUAUGUAAAUAAUGAUUGCAUGAAUUAAUCUGUUGUUCUAACUAGUUACUUAAUUAUUGCAGCUCAGUUUUCUUUGGACUCGAGGAUUUUCCGUAACCUGAGCCGGAAGGUAGACAAUGUGAAGAAGGAAGAAUAUGAACGAAUUUUCUUUGUAAGUAGGAAACAAUUUCAACUGUUUGGUAGUUUAAGGUAUCAAAGAAGGACUUCUUGGAAACAACUAACAAAAUACCCAGCUGUAGAUGAACGAACAGAACUAUCUAGAGAUGUUUUAUAGAAAGCAAUAUCCAACAUUGAAAAGCAGUUGCAGAAAAUGAAUGCGAACAGAAAGAUUAGAUAUUUUUCCACAACCCAGAAGACUUU